rnacentral:rRNA from 1 species
CCUACGGGAGGCAGCAGUGGGGAAUAUUGCACAAUGGGCGAAACCCUGAUGCAGCAACGCCGCGUGUAUGAAGAAGGCCUUCGGUUUGUAAAGUACUUUCAGCAGAGAAGAUAAUGACGGUAUCUAACCAAGAAGCACCGGCUAACUCCGUGCCAGCAGCCGCGGUAAUACGGAGGGGGCAAGCGUUACGCGGAAUCACUGGGCGUAAAGUGCGCGUAGACGGGAUAGCAAGUCUGGAGUGAAAUCCCCGGGCUUAACCAUGGAACUGCAUUUGAAACUGGUAGUCUUGAGUGUGGGAGAGGUAGGUGGAAUGCGUGGUGUAGCGGUGAAAUGCGUAGAGAGCAGGAGGAAUACUGGUUGCGAAGGCGGCCUGCUGGAGCAAAACUGACGCUCAUGUGCGAAAGCGUGGGGAGCAAACAGGAUUAGAUACCCGUGUAGUC